AAAAUGGGGUGCGCCCCUUGCGCACGGACGCUCCCGUGCGCACCCAGCCCCGAUGCCGUUUCUUUAGGAUCUGACGGAUGGCGCAGUGAACGGCUCGGCUUUCUCGCAGGGAUCGACUUCCGCGUGACCUCGGCUCGUUGAAUCGAAUAGCCGCCCGGCUCCGCUUCAUUGCUCCCGGCUUCUCCAAUCGAGCCAUGACGCUCCAAUCAUCGGCAACGGCGGCUGCGGCGACGGCGGGAGGCUUUGCGGCGGUGCGGCGAGCGAAGAGCUGGUGGAGCGGGAGAAGAGCGGCCUCGACGCUGCCCACUCCGCGGCGGACUCCGGCCGCUUCCAUCCGCCGCGACCCUGCUCCCGCCGGUGCCUCCGCCCCAGCGCGCCGGAGCCCUCGCUGCCGGCCGUCGCACGCGCGAGGCCCUCGCUGCCAGCCGUCGAGCACCCAAAAAUUAUUGUUUGCCUUCUCUGUUAGUUCAAAGUGACACCUGCGUCUAGCUUGUUCUGUUAGAAAGGCAAUUGUGUGUAUCAGCCUUAGUAAUAAACUGUCUAAUUUGCUCUACCAAAAAUUUCUGGAGUUAUUGCUACUACUCUUGAGUUCCAAACUGCCAGAUUUCCUAAGUUCAAGUUUUCAGUCAUAUUCCUUGGUCUGUUGUUAGAUGCUUCAUCAACAAGGAAGAUGUUGCUGCCAUAUUCAGAGUAGCAGACAAGGAUAACUCUGGCACUUUAACUGUGAAGAAAAUAAAAGAUGUUCCUGGAGACAUCUGUGAGAGAUACCCACAAGUGGAGUUGUAUCUUAAAUCCAACCAAAUGAAGGGCUUCCAUGAUCUACUCAAGGACUCGGAUGGCAACUCCAAGGAGUUGAAAGAACUGGACAUUUAGGCCACAUUUUUCUGUUGCAUUUUCUGAAUAUAUCCGUGCUGUAAUAGUACUCACUCUCCUAACUGAUAGAACUCUGAAGUGAUUUCACCAAAGGAACUCCACAAUGCACACAAAAGGAUUACAAGCUCCAUAUUACAAGCUCUGAAAUAAGCAAUCAGAUAACAGGUUCCAUAUUACAAGCUCCAAAUUAUAAGCUCUGAAAUGGUGGGCAAAAUCAGGAAUCUAUGUAUCAGUGACAGUUCUGAAAUCUGACACUUUUCUUAUAUAGCAGCUCACCUUUUCCAUAAUUUAUUUUAGAGAUUUCAGUGGUUGUAAUAUGGAGCUGCCCACUGCCAUAAUUUAAUUUCUUGUCUUUCAUU